UAUGAAAUGUGAAAUUAACACCUAUCUCGUUUGAUUUUAUUGGGAAAAAACAACAAAAAACGAGUGGCAUCAACAUGAUAGCACACUUUCUUUUCUUUGUUUCAUUUCAACACGAUUGGAGUAUAGCACAGAAAGGUGGCUGUGGCGAUAAUAAGAAUGGCUGUUGUGCUGAAACAAUAUGGAAUGAGACGCUCGGCAGAUGUACAGGAUGCAUGCCUGGAUACUUUGGCCAAUACUGCAAUAUAACCUGUAAAUAUCCAUAUUACGGUAUGCGCUGUAUGGGGAAGUGUGACUGUGAACAGGACAGAUGUAACUUCGUGACCGGAUGUCCAGAUUACAGUUUGAUUUAGAAAUUGAUAUGCAUGUACUCAAAAUAGAUAUAUGUUUUUCAAUAACAUCAUUACGCCAAACUUUUAUUUAAUGGCUUGUUAAAAUACAUCUUAUGAAGUAUGAUUUCAACAUCGAAAGAGUAAUAGAACCUCUUAAUUAUUUUAUAUGAAUUGUUUUGUGAUUUCUCCCGGGAUGAUAAGAAAGGUGUUUUGUUUGCAAAUAAGAGAUUCGAAGAAAUUUUGCUGUGAUUUGGUGCAUGAUAUGAAUGUCUAAUAAAAUAUACUUAAAGGACUCGGAUAUAAAAAUGAAAAUAUUAUUUGUUAAUAUGUUUUAAUCUACGGAAAAAAUCUUCAAAAACAUGAAAGUUAGAGAAAAAAAAACAUAUAUCGAAGAAAUGUAUGUUAAAGAAAUUGAAACGAAAUGACCAAAUUUCAGGUAUAUCACUUUAUUCAAAUGAGAAAAAAGUACCAAUCAUGAUCAAAAUUGAUAGAAAUUACGACAAUAAUCGUAUUGUUGCUAAUUAUUAUAUGCAUUUUCAUCAAGAAAUUAGUUUUUAUAAAUUCAUUUAAUUUGUAAACCAUUUUUACAUCAAAGGAAUGUAAUUUUCUGAUUGGCUACUUGUUGUUUUUUUUUAAUUCCGAUCGGUCUUGGUUCAAAUUUGUAAAAAAAAAAAAAAGUAAUAUUUCUGAAUAUUGACCAUUUCAUUUUAACUUCUUUUAAAAAUAUAUUUAUCUAAUAUAUCAUUUUUUCCUAAUUUACAUGUUUAUUUUUUGUUUUGUUUUUGAAGAUUUUAUCCGUAGAAUUAAAAAUAAAUAUUAACAAAUAACGUUUUCAAUUUUCAUAAAUGUUUUAAUUCACAAGAUCAGAACAUCAAUUCUAGUCGAUCAGGCAUGUUUUCUUCGAUAUUCAUAUUAUGCAUCAAAUCUCAGCAACAUUUGGACUCUAGAGUAUCUUAUUUUCAAACAAAACAACAGCUUUCUACCAUUUCGGAAAAAUCACAAAAAAUUAUAUAAAAUGAUUAAGAGCUUAUAUAUUUCAUUAGAGGUGGCUUAACGAACAUUUAAAUAUAAUUUUGGUGGAAUGAGCUACAUGUACCUUAAAUUAAAAGGACUCACAUAUGUUUGUAAAUAAAUCAAAGAAAACCGUUGAAACUUUCUUACAUGUAACCAUGUAGAAAUAGUUGACAUGAUAUAAAAAGGGAUAUUUGAUAAAGUAUAUAUGCAGCUGAAAAUUAUAAGGAUAAUAUUGGUAAUGUUUCCAUAUUGUACAUGUAUAAUGAUGUGUUACGAAUUGACUUUUCAGAGCCAACAACCAUGUUAAAACUGUCAAGCUUCAUCUAUAGAGGAUUGGAAACAACAGAUUGUUCAGGUCGGCGACAAUAUGUACACAACGAUGAUAUGUCUCGAUACAAACCAUCAACAUAAUGACCCACGUACAUCGAGAAUGAACGAGACUUAAUAAAAUAAGUUUGAAAAUUUUACAAAUCUAGAUUAUGUGCAAAAAUGUAUGCAUUAUUUCCCCUUUUUAUUCCUUAU